UACGGAGGGUGCAAGCGUUGUUCGGAAUCACUGGGCGUAAAGCGCGUGUAGGCGGCCUCUUAAGUCUGGUGUGAAAGCCCGGGGCUCACCCCCGGAGGGGCACUGGAUACUGAGAGGCUAGAGUACCGGAGAGGAGGGUGGAAUUCCUGGUGUAGCGGUGAAAUGCGUAGAUAUUAGGAGGAACACCGGUGGCGAAGGCGGCCCUCUGGAAGGCUACUGACGCUGAGACGCGAAAGCGUGGGGAGCAAACAGG
rnacentral:rRNA from 1 species